AAAAAAUAAUGUUACUGCAUAAAUUGGAAUGAAGGACGAAUGUGGCCAGAGUAGUAGCUGUAUGAGAAUAAGUACAGUUUGUCUUCAUAAACUACAAGCUGGUUUUUCACAUACAGCUCUGAAAUGUAUUGCAGAAUUGUACAAUUCCUCCAGGCCAAAAAGAAAAUUACAGGGUUGGGACUCUUUCAGAAGCACCACCGAUGACGGUGAGCAAGUUGUUGCCAAAGGGGUCACUCAAAUGGGCAGCCAAAUUCUCAACAGGACCCUGUCCGGUCACAUAGGCUUGGAUGAAGAAACCAAGCAUAGAAAACAUGGCUAGUCUUCCAUUCUUGAUUUCUUUUACCUUCAAGAUUGCUGCCUGGUCUGGGUCCUUUGCUAGGCCUAGUGGGUCAAAUGGACCACCUGGGU
rnacentral:misc_RNA from 1 species